CCUACGGGUUGCAGCAGUGGGGAAUAUUGCACAAUGGGCGCAAGCCUGAUGCAGCCAUGCCGCGUGUAUGAAGAAGGCCUUCGGGUUGUAAAGUACUUUCAGCGGGGAGGAAGGCGAUAAGGUUAAUAACCUUGUCGAUUGGCGUUACCCGCAGAAGAAGCACCGGCUAACUCCGUGCCAGCAGCCGCGGUAAUACGGAGGGUGCAAGCGUUAAUCGGAAUUACUGGGCGUAAAGCGCACGCAGGCGGUCUGUCAAGUCGGAUGUGAAAUCCCCGGGCUCAACCUGGGAACUGCAUUCGAAACUGGCAGGCUAGAGUCUUGUAGAGGGGGGUAGAAUUCCAGGUGUAGCGGUGAAAUGCGUAGAGAUCUGGAGGAAUACCGGUGGCGAAGGCGGCCCCCUGGACAAAGACUGACGCUCAGGUGCGAAAGCGUGGGGAGCAAACAGGAUUAGAUACCCCGGUAGUC
rnacentral:rRNA from 1 species